UACGUAGGGGGCAAGCGUUGUCCGGAUUUAUUGGGCGUAAAGAGCGUGUAGGCGGCCAGACAGGUCAGCUGUGAAAACUCGAGGCUCAACCUCGAGACGCCGAUGGAAACCCUCCAGCUAGAGUCCGGAAGAGGAGAGUGGAAUUCCUGGUGUAGCGGUGAAAUGCGCAGAUAUCGGGAAGAACACCCGUGGCGAAGGCGGCUCUCUGGGACGGUACUGACGCUGAGACGCGAAAGCGUGGGGAGCGAACAGG
rnacentral:rRNA from 1 species